CGGCUGCCGUGGCUGAGGCUCAUGGAUCACUCUUUUGUGGUAGGGCCACAUCUGCCAGAGCCUGGAGUCUGCGAAGGCCGGGACCCGGUUCCCCGGCCCACCGUGGGGGGGGUGUGCAAACCCGAGAGAACUGGGAAGUGCCGUCAGAAGCGAUAACUGACGACGUCUAAUGUCUAUCUGACCGCAGUCGCUGAAACCUCUACAACUUAGU